AUGUAGGUGGAGCAGUGUGUAGUUUCUCAUUAAUCCGUAGCCUCUUCUAUCCUAUUUAAACAGCAAGUGUUCACACAUUUCCUUCAUUCUCCACCAAGAGAAGCAGCUGCCACCUACUACAAAACUUUCUGUCUGAAUACCACGAAUACCGGUAAGUCUUGGAGAUUUACUGGGCAGGAGAGGAGAGAAACUACUUUAGAAUUUGGGACAUAAGGGAGGG